ACCCAGGCUGGAGUGCAAUGGCGCGAUCUCGGCUCACCGCAACCUCUGCCUCCUGGGUUCAGGCAGUUCUCCUGCCUCAGCCUCCUGAGUAGCUGGGAUUACAGGCACGCGCCACCAUGCCCAGCUAAUUUUUUGUAUUUUUAGUAGAGACGGGGUUUCACCAUGUUGACCAGGAUGGUCUCGAUCUCCUGACCUCGAGAUCCACCCGCCUCGGCCUCCCAAAGUGCUGGGAUUACAGGCAUGAGCCACCGCGCCCGGCCGGAGUUGAGUUUUUAACAUGGCUAAGCCAUGAGGAGCUCAACAAAUGCAGACUCUAUUGCAGAACUUCUAGUGAGUCCUGACCAUAAUUCUGCGAAGUUCUUUCUCUUCCUCUUUCACUUUUUCUUGUUUUUUCUUUAGUAUGAACAACUACUGAUAGAUAUUCUGAAGUUUUACGCUAAUAUGAACAAAUUCCCCAGAAGAGAAAGAGCGAUUUCAUCCUGCAAUUCAAACAUAAGUUCCCCGCCGAGAGCCACGGAGGUGCUCAUCGUUGCCCACGGCCUUGGAACUUACAGAAUUAAUAGGAGAGCCUGUAGAAUUGAAAACUGUGCAGCUGAGAGUGUUCCAAAUCCCACUGCAAGAUGAGUGUACAAAGAAACCAACAACCUCCCCAACUGGUACAGAAAUUACUUCAA
rnacentral:lncRNA from 13 species